rnacentral:tRNA from 1 species
GGUGGCUCAAUGGUAGAGCACUUGCCUUGCAUACCUGAGGCCCUGGGUUCGAUUCCCCAGCACCA